UACGUAGGGUGCAAGCGUUAGUCGGAAUUACUGGGCGUAAAGCGUGCGCAGGCGGUUUUGUAAGCCAGAUGUGAAAUCCCCGGGCUUAACCUGGGAACUGCGUUUGUAACUGGCAGACUGGAGUGUGGCAGAGGGGGGUGGAAUUCCAAGUGUAGCAGUGAAAUGCGUAGAUAUGCGGAGGAACACCAAUGGCGAAGGCAAUCCCCUGGGCCUGCACUGACGCUCAUGCACGAAAGCGUGGGGAGCAAACAGGAUUAGAUACCCCGGUAGU
rnacentral:rRNA from 1 species